UUCACAUCGCGCGAUUAAAUUAAGUAGGUCCGUAUGCCCCGAAUCCUCUGGGCUACACGCGGGCUACAAUGGUUAAGACAAUGGGUUCCGACGCCGACCGGGCACACUAAGGGGACCGCCUAUGAUAAAUAGGAGGAAGGAGUGGACGACGGUAGGUCCGUAUGCCCCGAAUCCUCUGGGCUACACGCGGGCUACAAUGGUUAAGACAAUGGGUUCCGACGCCGAAAGGCGGAGGUAAUCCUGUAAACUUAGUCGUAGUUCGGAUUGAGGGCUGUAACUCGUCCUCAUGAAGCUGGAAUGCGUAGUAAUCGCGUUCACAUCGCGCGAUUAAAUUAA
rnacentral:rRNA from 1 species